rnacentral:rRNA from 1 species
ACUACGGGGGGCAGCAGUGGGGAAUAUUGCACAAUGGGCGCAAGCCUGAUGCAGCCAUGCCGCGUGUGUGAAGAAGGCCUUCGGGUUGUAAAGCACUUUCAGCGGGGAGGAAGGCGGUGAGGUUAAUAACCUCAUCGAUUGACGUUACCCGCGGAAGAAGCACCGGCUAACUCCGUGCCAGCAGCCGCGGUAAUACGGAGGGUGCAAGCGUUAAUCGGAAUUACUGGGCGUAAAGCGCACGCAGGCGGUCUGUCAAGUCGGAUGUGAAAUCCCCGGGCUCAACCUGGGAACUGCAUUCGAAACUGGCAGGCUAGAGUCUUGUAGAGGGGGGUAGAAUUCCAGGUGUAGCGGUGAAAUGCGUAGAGAUCUGGAGGAAUACCGGUGGCGAAGGCGGCCCCCCGGACAAAGACUGACGCUCAGGUGCGAAAGCGUGGGGAGCAAACAGGAUUAGAUACCCGGGUAGUC